UUUUUUUUUUCUCAUUUUUGUACGUAUUCAAAAGUCAAACACUAUAUUGAUCUUCUUCUAUGCAACUUCCUAUGGAUCAUUAUCAGAGUUUUAGUUUAUGGGAAUAUAGCCAGAAAAUCAAUAAAAGAUGUAACAAGAAGGAUCGAAUAACUAAAGUCAUCUUUAGGAAAAUCUAUAAUAUUGAAGUUUCAUCCAANNUAAGGCCAAAACAACUCUCUAAUUUAUAAACUUAAAAUAANAUACACCAACCAAACAAGAAGAAAAAAAGAAACAUGUCUGUNGCUUUAUAUGUCCCCAAACUGAUAUGUAUAUUAUUGCUCGAGUUUGAAUUUUUUAGAUAAAAAAAAACAUAAUUAAAGGAAGAAACCU
rnacentral:lncRNA from 1 species